GCCAGUGCAGUGUAGCGGUUCGAGCAUUGGACUAUGACUCUGGAGACCAGGGUUCGAAUCCCAGCUCAGCCA
rnacentral:tRNA from 1 species